AAUGAGGGGUCGGGCGGUGUGACAAUACAAUAAGUAGCCUAAACGCAGUUUAUUAUUGUUACAGCCAGUUCCGGUUACCAGGCUCCUCGGACUUGGAGAGGAGCUAGAGGUGCACCUUGUUUAUGCCAUCACUCAAGAGCAACUGAGGUUUCUGAUGUCCUGUGCUUUCAGCGUGUCUCAGAUGGCAGAUAUUCUACAUGUGUCCCGAUCAACACUCAAAUGUUGUCUAAGACACUUCAAUCUGUCACAUGCACCGUUAUAUUCUGACAUGUCAGACUUGGCUCUGGAUGAAAAGAUUAAGGACUUGGUGGCUGGGAACGACAAACUUGGACCGGAGGCUGUUCGAGCGCAAUUAAGGGCAUUGGGAAUCCGGGUGCAGAGACGCAGAGUGAGGGACAGCAUGAUUCGUGUUAACCCGAGGGCGGCUGCCCUCAGAGCCAUGUCGCAGAGGCUACAUAGAAGGUCAUACCGUGUUGCUGGACCAAACUCGUUAUGGCACCUUGAUGGAAACCACAAACUGAUAAGGUGGAGGAUAGUCAUACAUGGUGGCAUUGAUGGGUGCAGCCGCCUCGUUGUGUUUCUUCGUGCUUCCAGCAACAAUCGCAGCAGUACUGUAAUGGAUUGCUUCGUGAAAUCUGUCUCCAGAUAUGGCGUUCCCUCCAAAGUUAGGACGGACCAUGGAGGAGAAAACAACAUUGUCUGCUUGUUGAAUGUAAUACAUAUUGAAAAUAUUAUUUAAAAAAUAGCGCUACAUGCAUCCUUAAUGUCUUCUUGACCUACACAUUGAUUACAUUCUAUAGUGAGUGAUGCAUGCGGCUACUUUUUUUUCUGUAAAUCAUUUUCAGAACGCAAUCACAUUAUGUUUGACAGCUUUAUUGCUUUCUCCAUGUUUUUGAAAUGUAUAAGCCUUUAAAUUACCUUUUACCGACUACUUCUACAAACGAGGCUACACUUGUGGCAGCACCUAUUCCUGUGGCACCACUUCUUGUGGCCCCCCUCCACCUAUACCACUUCCUGUGGCCUCCCCUCCACCUAUACCACUUCCUGUGGCCUCCCCUCCACCAUUCCCUGAGGCUUAUCAUUCAUCUUCACCACACUCUUCUGUUGAUGUUGG